rnacentral:rRNA from 1 species
UGGGGAAUAUUGCACAAUGGGGGAAACCCUGAUGCAGCGACGCCGCGUGAGUGAAGAAGUAUUUCGGUGUGUAAAGCUCUAUCAGCAGGGAAGAAAAAAGACGGUACCUGACUAAGAAGCCCCGGCUAACUACGUGCCAGCAGCCGCGGUAAUACGUAGGGGGCAAGCGUUAUCCGGAUUUACUGGGUGUAAAGGGAGCGUAGACGGCUAAGCAAGUCUGAAGUGAAAGCCCGGGGCUUAACCCCGGGACUGCUUUGGAAACUGUUAAGCUAGAGUGCUGGAGAGGUAAGUGGAAUUCCUAGUGUAGCGGUGAAAUGCGUAGAUAUUAGGAGGAACACCAGUGGCGAAGGCGGCUUACUGGACAGUAACUGACGUUGAGGCUCGAAAGCGUGGGGAGCAAACAGG